CCUCACCGUGGUUCUCCAUCUGCUCCAGGACAGCAAUCCCACACUCCUGCUGCCGAGGGUAGUGGACGAAGAUGCGCUGGAUGAUGUUGCGAGGCCGGAAGACCUCCUUGGGGAAGAUGUUGAGCAGCUGGUUGUACACAGCCAGGUCCCGCUCGACACCAUACUCCCGCAUCUUGCGCAGGGCCAGCUAAAGAAGAUGAAGAAGUCUUCGGGGAG
rnacentral:lncRNA from 1 species